UUCUGAGUUCUGUCUUCUAAAAAGAGCCCAGAGUAGCUGCUCCUGCCUCAUCACUGGCCCUGCUGUUUUCUUCAUCAGAUCAGUUCUAGGUCAAUUUCUAGUGUCAUGAUAAACUCUCAAGCUACAGAGACGCCAAGUUUGCUUUACUCAUUCAUCCAGCAAAUAUUCAAUUAAUGUUAACUAUAUUCCAAUAUUGGCCCAAGCACUAAGGAUACAGAAGUGAACAAAGAUUCUUCUACUAGGGAGCUUGCAAGAACAUGUCUAACAGCUCAGUGGACCAAAUCACCCAGUUCACGAGGAGAUGCUUCAAACUUAACAAAAAUAUAUAUAAAGCAGGAAAAGAUAAGACUCAGGGGCUGCUCCAAUUUGACUGCGCAUAGCACCAGAACCACAUAGGCUUGUGGUGGGGCCUGAGGAUGUGCAUUUGGCACAAGUUUUCAACAAUCUAAUGCUGCUGGUCCAGGGUCCCCGCUUGAAGAACCACUGCUUUGUUAUAAUCAUCCUGAUCAUCAGGGCACCUGCAACCAAGGAGCUGGGUGUUGCUCAAGGAAAAUCACCCAACCCCACUGACUGCUUUCACUUAAAUUCAUGAUUACAGAUUCUAAAGGAGCCCUCAGUAACUGCCUGGCUGUCCUUUUCAAUUUCCCUAGUAAAGUCCCUUUGUCUAUUCUGUACUCUGUCCUCUCUUCUCAAACUUUCGUGUCUUGCCUACUCUUCAAUUUCAGCAGAUAACCUCACCUCCCACACUUCAGUGAGGAACUAGAGUAGAGGCCAGGAAAUAGGAACUCUCUUCCCAAUGGUGCUUGAGGCUCCUCUGACUUUCCUCCUGUUACAAGGGAAAGACAGAUUUCUGUCUGUCACCAGUCAGUCUCCCCUUUGCUCUGCAUCCCAUCAGCCUCACCUUUUUUUUUGUUUUUUUUUAAAGAGAGAG